GUGGAGCCCAGCGCGGGUCCCUGGCCGCCCGCGGGCCGGAGAGGGCGCGCGUGAAGCGCCCCUGCACAGACAUGGGCGGCGUGAACACGGAACGUGCACACAUGGAGAGGGACGUGCACUCAGACAUGUGGAGGUGCGUUCCUUAGUGCAGAGAGACGGGCACGAGCGCCCUUAGUGCACACGACCCUGAGGUCCCUGCACACCGCGCACGGGUCACUCGGGGACGUGCGCUCGGAGGCUGGCGCACGUGUAGAGCCUGACUGCGGGCACAAGGGAAGCUGGAAUGCGAACAAGCAGCCGCAAACAGGACCCAGGCACUGUCACACAGACAUGCACACACCAAACGCCUUGUUAACGCAGGACGCGUGCCAAGAACGCAUUCUCAGAGACACACAGAGGGAACACACGAUGCAGACACAGGACAUGUCCUUUUCCUGCGUGGCAAGUGGACACCUGCAAAGCCUCUUAGGACAUGCCCAAAGUGACAGCUCACACGGAGAUCCAGGGACCACUCGGUGGACUCUCCCUUCCUGCAAUUGUGGUAAUUAUUCAGAACCAGAAUGAAACAACAGCAGUAGUAAUAGCUGCCACAUACUGGGAGCUUGCUCUAUGCCAGACACCACGCUCAAGGACUUCACAAUGCUUCAUCACGUGUAUCACUUAGCACUGUAUCAUACUUUUGAAUAUAUAUGUGUGUGUGUAAAGUUUUAAUCACUUGAAUAACAGCUGCUAUUAUGACCAUUUAGCAGAUGAAGAAACUGA
rnacentral:lncRNA from 1 species